GCCGACGUAGCACAGCGGUAGUGCAACCGAUUCGUAAUCGGUAGGUCGCGAGUUCGAUUCUCGCCGUCGGCACCA
rnacentral:tRNA from 1 species